CCUCUACCCGCAGGGUUCUGGUCACAUUCCCGCCGCAGAGCUGACCUCCUCCUCCACCCCCUACCUGCCUCCUCCUGCACAGAAGCCCGAGGCUGUGGUCCACGCCAUGAAGGUCCUUGAGGUGCACGAGAACCUGGACAGACAGAUCCCUGAAGAUUAUGAGGAAGACCUGAGUGAAAAAGAGAAGGCCAUUGUCAGAGAGAUGUGUAAUGUGGUGUGGCGUAAGCUGGGGGAUGCAACAGGCUCUAAGCCCUCCAUCCGGCAGCACCUCUCUGGGAACCAGUUCAAAGGACCUUUGUAGCCGCGGCAUCAGCCAGCACCCAGGGUCUAAAGCAAACAAGCAACCCAGUAAACAAAGCGGGAGACACCAGCAGCUGCCUCCUGCACAGGCAAAGGCUUUCCUAGGAAGAUCACCAAGCAGACAAACUGCUUGCAUCGCUCUUUCCUCAACUCAAGUCGUGUCAUAUCCUGUUUUCUUCCUUCCCCUUAAGCUUCAAAGUAAUCAUCACAAAACACAAA